rnacentral:rRNA from 1 species
AGUGAACGCUCGCUGUAGGCCUAACACAUGCAAGUCGAACGGCAGCACAGUAAGAGCUUGCUCUUACGGGUGGAGAGUGGCGGACGGCUGGGGAAGACAUCGGCAUCUACUUUUCCGUGGUGGAUAACGGAGGGAAACUUACCCGAAUACCGCAUACGAGCUACGGGUGCAAACAGGGGAUCUUCCGACCUUGCGCGAUUGAAUGUGCCCACGUCGGAUUAGCUAAUUGGCGGUGUAAAGGCCCACCAAGUCGACGAUCCUUAGCUGGUCUGAAAGGAUGAUCCGCCACGCUGGUACUGUGACGCGUGCCAGACUACUACGGGAGGAAGCAGUGGGGAAUAUUGGACGAUGGGGGCAAGCGUGGUCCAGUCAUACCGCGUGGGUGAAGCAGGCUUUCGGGUUGGAUAGACCUUUUGUUGGGAAAGAAAAGCAGCAGGUUCAUGCCCCGGUGUUCUGACGGUACCAAAAGAAUAAGCACCGGCUGACUUCGUG